ACGCAUGUGUUCUCGGCGCCGCGGUUGA
rnacentral:sRNA from 1 species